UGAACGAGUUGAACUGCGUGAGUUUGA
rnacentral:sRNA from 1 species